rnacentral:rRNA from 1 species
GAUGAACGCUGGCGGCGUGCUUAACACAUGCAAGUCGAACGAUGAAGCCCAGCUUGCUGGGUGGAUUAGUGGCGAACGGGUGAGUAACACGUGAGUAACCUGCCCUUAACUCUGGGAUAAGCCUGGGAAACUGGGUCUAAUACCGGAUAGGAGCGUCCACCGCAUGGUGGAGUGUUGGAAAGAUUUAUCGGUUUUGGAUGGACUCGCGGCCUAUCAGCUUGUUGGUGAGGUAAUGGCCCACCAAGGCGACGACGGGUAGCCGGCCUGAGAGGGUGACCGGCCACACUGGGACUGAGACACGGCCCAGACUCCUACGGGAGGCAGCAGUGGGGAAUAUUGCACAAUGGGCGCAAGCCUGAUGCAGCGACGCCUCGUGAGGGAUGACGGCCUUCGGGUUGUAAACCUCUUUCGGUAGGGAAGAAGCUAAAGUGACGGUCACCUGCAGAAGAAGCACCGGCUAACUACCUGCCAUCAGCCGCAGUAAUACGUAUGGUGCGAGCGUUAUCCGGAAUUAUUGUGCGUGAAGAGCUCGUAGGCGGUUUGUCGCGACUGUCGUGAAAGUCCGGGGCUUAACCCCGGAUCUGCGGAGGGUACGGGCAGACUAGAGUGCAGUAGGGGAGACUGGAAUUCCUGGUGUAUCGGUGGAAUGCGCAGAUAUCAGGAGGAACACCGAUGGCGAAGGCAGGUCUCUGGGCUGUAACUGACGCUGAGGAGCGAAAGCAUGGGGAGCGAACAGGAUUAGAUACCCUGGUAGUCCAUGCCGUAAACGUUGGGCACUAGGUGUGGGGACCAUUCCACGGUUUCCGCGCCGCAGCUAACGCAUUAAGUGCCCCGCCUGGGGAGUACGGCCGCAAGGCUAAAACUCAAAGGAAUUGACGGGGGCCCGCACAAGCGGCGGAGCAUGCGGAUUAAUUCGAUGCAACGCGAAGAACCUUACCAAGGCUUGACAUGUUCUCGAUCGCCGUAGAGAUACGGUUUCCCCUUUGGGGCGGGUUCACAGGUGGUGCAUGGUUGUCGUCAGCUCGUGUCGUGAGAUGUUGGGUUAAGUCCCGCAACGAGCGCAACCCUCGUUCCAUGUUGCCAGCACGUAAUGGUGGGGACUCAUGGGAGACUGCCGGGGUCAACUCGGAGGAAGGUGAGGACGACGUCAAAUCAUCAUGCCCCUUAUGUCUUGGGCUUCACGCAUGCUACAAUGGCCGGUACAAUGGGUUGCGAUACUGUGAGGUGGAGCUAAUCCCAAAAAGCCGGUCUCAGUUCGGAUUGGGGUCUGCAACUCGACCCCAUGAAGUUGGAGUCGCUAGUAAUCGCAGAUCAGCAACGCUGCGGUGAAUACGUUCCCGGCCCU